rnacentral:rRNA from 1 species
GACGAACGCUGGCGGCGUGCUUAACACAUGCAAGUCGAACGAAGUGGCGAACGGGUGAGUAAUACGUGAGUAACCUGCCCUCCUUUUUGGGAUAAGCCUUGGAAACGGGGUCUAAUACCGAAUAAAGGGGGAUGGGCUCGCGGCCUAUCAGCUUGUUGGUGGGGUGAUGGCCUACCAAGGCGGUGACGGGUAGCCGGCCUGAGAGGGUGACCAGCGACAUUGGGACUGGGAUACAGCCCAAAGUCAGACAGGAGGCGGGAGUGGGGGAUAUUGGACAAUGGGCGAAAGCCUGAUGCAGCGACGCGGCGAGGGGGAUGUAGGCUUUCGGGUUGUAAACCUCUUGCGCGAUCGAGCGGGUAGGUGGAGAAGAAGCGCCGGCUAACUACGUGCCAGCAGCCGCGGUAAUAC